ACGCUCGACACCUACGGGAGGCAGCAGUGGGGGAUAUUGCACAAUGGGGGAAACCCUGAUGCAGCAACGCCGCGUGAGGGAAGAAGGUUUUCGGAUUGUAAACCUCUGUCCCCGGGGAAGAUAAUGACGGUACCCGGGGAGGAAGCUCCGGCUAACUACGUGCUAGCAGCCGCGGUAAUCUGAGCGGGCUGGCAAGGC
rnacentral:rRNA from 1 species